GAUGAACGCUAGCUACAGGCUUAACACAUGCAAGUCGAGGGGUAGCAGGGUAGCAAUACCGCUGACGACCGGCGCACGGGUGAGUAACACGUAUCCAACCUUCCCAUAACUCGGGAAUGGCCUUUCAAAGGAAGGAUUAAUACCCGUAGUUCCUUAUUUAGGUUUUUUUAUUUAAGUUAAGGAUUUUUGGUUUAUGGUGGGGGAUGCUUUCCAUUAGAUAUUUGGUGAGGUAACGGCUCACCAAGUCUUCGAUGGAUAGGGGUUCUGAGAGGAAGGUCCCCCACAUUGGUACUGAGACACGGACCGAACUCCUACGGGAGGCAGCAGUGAGGAAUAUUGGUCAAUGGGCGAGAGCCUGAUCCAGCCAAGUAGCGUGAAGGAUGAAGGUCCUAUGGAUUGUAAACUUCUUUUAUAGUAGAAUAAAGUUAGCCACGUGUGGUUAUUUGUAUGUAUACUAUGAAUAAGGAUCGGCUAACUCCGUGCCAGCCGCCGCAGUAAUAC
rnacentral:rRNA from 1 species